UCGGCCGCAGAAGCCGGGCCUGAAUGCUGGGCGCGGGAAGCGCUAGCGCAGCCGGGCUGGUGCAGGCGCGUAUCCGCGGCACCUGCUCUGCUCUCCCCCCGCAGCGCAGAGAGGCUUCCCGGCGGGGAAGGGCGCCGGGCCGGGUGCCGUGAGGGGGCGGCCGGAGAACGCACCGGGGGAGCCCGCAGACCCUCUCACGGGCCCCUGGGCGCAGCGAGCUCGGAGCCAGGCUCUGGGCGGCAGCGGGACCCGGCCAUGCCCAGUGACACACUUGAACUCUCAUCCAUGCUUCUGUGAUAUCCCUCACUAUUCAUAGUGUCACAACUUGACAGUUUGGACAAGUGCAUCCCUGACCUAGAGGCAUCUAACUUCAAAUCCAUUAGUCUCUUUGAGCUUUGGUCAGGGAAUUAUGUAACUCCUCUCAUUCCUUCUUCAUUAAAACAUACCUCCCCCGAACAUGCUGAAGGACUUGGCUAAGAUAGAGGACCAGAUCCUGAAGCCUUCUGCUGCUUUUCCACCCCCUGGUUUCUGGGUGCAAGUUAGAGCAGUGUCAGAGUUCCAGAGCAAGACCUUUUGUGGAGGAACUGGUUUGCAGGAACUCGGUGGGAGCUGCUAAGGUUUGUCAGCAUCUACAGCCAGCUCCAGUCAUCUUAUUAAGAGUAUGUGUAAUCUUAUCAUGUUUGGAAGGUUGUACGAAUAUGGGUAAUCUUAUUUUAUGUUCAAUUUUGCUGUAAA